AUCCUUUUUUGUUUCGUAAGUGUGAUGAUUUGGUGUUCAUGCUAUUGAAUGAUAGGCCUCCCACGAAUCUUGUGAGGUUAACCUGGGCAGGUUAUCUGACUGACA